ACAUGUCAUGUUUCGUGAGUCUUUCAAAAACACCGAAAAGGAGAAUCGAACCAAUUAUUCAAUUCUUCACGUGCCGUUUCAGAUAAAUCAGCGCCUUUCUUAUCAUUGACAAACAAUAUAUCUUGAGUUUCGUCGUCUGCUUUGGGUGGUUAUAUAGGCCGAUCGGAAGACUUGAAAAUAUCAUUCUUUGAUUGGUAAUACCGCCAUGAAGGUUCAUCUUGUCUGCUGCGUUGUCGCCCUGCUAGCCGUUCAGGCACAAGGUGCUUGGCCAUGGGACCGGCUCUUCGCCCCGAUCCCAUCGACCACGCCCCCACCAACCACAGACCCGACCCCGGUCAUUGACACAUCGGAUGUCCUCGAAGCCGAUUCCAGUGUCGAUUUCUGGGACGAUGUCUACGAGCGCGCCUUCAACGAAUACGGGCCCGUUGACGUCCCCUACUACGAGAACAGCCCUUGGAGUGUGUCCUCGAUGUUGUUGGGGCUAGGUGAUAACAUCGUGUCGGUACUGCCGCAGUUCUUCCGUGACGUGUGGUACUACGGUCCCUCGGAUAGGGAGGUGUUUGUCCCUCAGGUUCAACCUGGAGAGAUGCCGUACAAUAGCACCAUCCAUUGGUUCCGUAAGGGUCUUCGCAUCCAUGACAACCCCGCCCUCUUGACGGCCAUCCAGGGCACAAAGGUCUUCCGGCCGGUCUUCAUCCUAGAUCCGAGCUUCCUCGAGUCCGGCAAGGUUGGCAUCAACAGGUGGCGCUUCCUCCUGGAAGCUCUCCAGGACCUUGACAACAGCUUCAGGGCUUUGGGAUCCCGGUUGUUUGUCGUUCGUGGAAACCCUACAACAGUGUUCCCCGAGCUCUUCAAGAAAUGGAACGUGACCCGUCUGACCUUUGACGUUGACACCGAGCCCUAUGCACGCCAGCGCGACCAGGAAGUGAUAGAACUGGCCAAGAAAAGUGGUGUUGAAGUUGUCACCAAAGUCUCCCAUACGCUCUAUGACACCGAGAGAACAAUCAAAGCCAACAAGAACAAACCACCCAUGACAUACCAGAGGAUGGUCGGCCUGCUGUCUGAGAUCGGAGCACCUGCAGUUCCGGAACUAGCCCCACAGAUUUCUAACUUCACAGAAGUCGCAACCCCUGUCAAACCCGACCAUGAUAGCGUAUAUGGAGUACCAAGCCUGGAGGACCUGGGCCUAGACGCUACAGGUCUUGGACCUCGUCUGUACCCUGGAGGGGAGACCGAGGGUCUCCAACGCAUGGAGCUUCACCUUGCCAGGAAGUCAUGGGUGUGCGGCUUUGAAAAACCAAAGACAAGCCCGAACUCCUUAGAACCAAGCACAACCGUUCUUAGUCCGUACCUGAAAUUUGGCUGCCUUUCACCGAGGAAGUUCUUUUAUGCAAUCAAAGAGGUUUAUGCACAGAAGACCAACUGCACCAAGCCUCCCGUUUCCCUGAUGGGCCAGCUGAUCUGGAGGGAGUUCUUCUACACCGUUGCCGCGGGAACGCCCAACUUCCACCAGAUGGAGGAGAAUCCAAUCUGUAUUCAAGUUCCUUGGGAUGAUAAUCCAGAAUUCCUGGCCGCCUGGAAGGAGGGGCGCACUGGUUACCCCUACAUUGAUGCCAUCAUGACCCAACUGAAGACCGAAGGCUGGAUCCAUCACCUUGCCAGACAUUCUGCUGCUUGCUUCCUCACCAGGGGUGACCUCUGGCAAAGCUGGGUCAAGGGUCAAGAGGUAUUUGAUGAGUUGCUAUUGGAUGCUGACUAUAGCCUCAAUGCAGCUAACUGGAUGUGGCUGUCAUCAAGUGCCUUCUUCCACCAAUACUACCGGGUCUACAGCCCCAUUGUGUUUGGCAAAAAGACGGAUCAGAACGGAGACUACAUCAGGAAAUACAUCCCAAUCCUGAAGAAUUUUCCUGCCAAGUACAUCUACGAGCCUUGGACCGCUCCACGCAGCGUGCAGGAGGCGGCAGGGUGUAUCAUUGGGAGGGACUACCCACGACCGAUCGUUGACCACAGCGUCGUCUCAAAGAGAAACAUCGGGAGGAUGAAGGAUGCGAGAGCUUGCCAGCCAGGGAAAUCACCAGAAAAGAGAUCAACUGAAGCGUCAAACAAGAACAGCAACGGCAAAGUCAGAAAGAUCACAUCUAUGCUGAAGAAGAAAUAGACUAUACAACUUGCAGUGGUACGUGUAUGAUGGAAGAUUCUACUAUACAUUCCAAAACUAGUUCAGACAGGGAUACGAUCCCAUCAUCAUUUCUGUUGUUGUAAAAAUUAAUUGUCUUAUGUUCUUUAUCCUCUUUUGUCUCUGACUCCUUCCUUUAUGAUUAUGGGAUGUAUGCCCCUUGAAACCGAGGCAACGCUUCAUAUGAUACAUCAUUGAUAAGCAAGUAAACAAUGUUAUGUAAUGAAAUAAAGUGAAUGAGUCAUAGUUUAAGGGCGAAAUAGCGAUUUCAGCAUCUGAUCAGUCAGUGAUUGCUUUAGGCUAUACAUUGUUCGAAGUAGAGCAUUAGAUUUUUUUUUCCUUAUCUGUAUAUUUUGCACUUUUUUCAUCUUUAAGUAUUGCUACUGAAUAGUAAUUCUUGUUCGUAAGGUAUGUAUUUAUUUUUUUUUUCAGUUAGAAAAAUAAGCUUAGCAAAGUUCGAUCUAGGUAGUAUAGAUCAGGGCUGGUAUAGAUGACCUUUUUUUCUGUUAAAGACAUGUUUUUUUUUAAGUUGUUUUGUUUACAAAAUGGCUUUGAUAGAAUGAUAUAUGAGUAAACAAUAUAUUACCUAUAUAAGUGUGUGAAUUUUCUACAGAUGAAGUGCUAGUGAUGACCAAAUUAAUAGUGUGUGAAUCAGAUGAAGAUUAACUGCUCAAUUUUCAGGGAAGACAAAAUAUUUGAUAGAGUUUAGAGAAAAUGUAUUAAUACGUAUGUUCUUAGAAUCACCCACACAGUAUUGUAUUCAACUUAUAAAUAUUGCAAUAAUUUUAUCCAAGAGGAAUCAUGCCAUUCAUUAAAAUUAUCAUGUUAUGUGUAUUUAAGGUGUUUUUCUACUUAUAAAAAUAUGUUCAAGCUAAUGAUGUGUACUAAAAUGAGCCAUUGGUGCUCUUUAAAGUUUGUGCAAAACUUCAGCAACAAAACAAAGCAUAUGCACUUCAAACUUGCGUGUGAUAUUUCAUAUGCAUACAAAGCCCGUGCAGCUGAUUUGAUAUCAUAUCUCAGUUAAACAUGAUGAAAAUUAUACAUCAACCAUAUUUUUGGGGAGGAGGGUGGGGCCAAGAUGUGGCCAUAUAAAUACCUAUUUAGCCUUAUUGUAAAUUGGCCUGGUUUCAAACAGUACUGAACCGUCAGAUUGAUGUAAAUAGGGUAUAUUACAUUAGGUUUCCGUUUGGCCACUCCUUGGGAUACUACUAACCAACUUGUGUCAAAUUUGGCAUGUGGAGGUUUCGUAUAAUUUUAUACUGAGAUAUGCUUACAAUGCAAAAAAAAAGAUGUUGCAUCAAUGUACCCCAUAGGAAGCAAAGACUUAAAAAGGCAAUCACACAACUUUUGGAUAUGCAUGAGCAGUGAUGGAGAUGUCAAAGAAUGUCCGCAGUCUGCUCAGGUCUUGACUAACAUCACAAAGCAAUUUUUAAAACUAAUAUUCCUGCCAUAUAUAUUGUAUUCCCGUCUAGGGGUUUGGUGUAAUUGGCAAUCAAGGAAUGUUGGUAUCUACAAUUUUUGUAGAAGUAGUCAGCAAGCCUAUGCUUUUCACCAUUUUUUAAAUUCCCCAUGCCCAUGGCAAUGAACAACUCGCUCAUCUGUUCAUAAAUUUGUACUAAACUAAGUUGAAUAUCUUACAUUUAUGCUAAAUUGCCAUGAAAUCGUGACUACUACAAUAAUUUGUCACAUUUCAUGUUUUUUUUACAUCAUAGAAAAGAUACUUUAGUCCGAUAUUGCAAUGAAAAUAUUGUUAAUACCGUAUUACAAUAAGUAUAAUUGUUUUGAUAAAUGAUCAUGUAUUGCAUGCCGACAGUUCCCUUGCAAGAUGUGAAAUUAUUUCUUGUUUGUGAGUUGAUUAAAUGAAUUAUGGUAACUUCA